UGGUCCCUCUCUCAGGGGACACACAGCCCUCUGUGGCAGCAUGGAUUAGCAGUAAGAUAGGUAAAAUAGGAGAAGUAUAGGACUGACGACAUCUAUCUUGCUAACAAACAUUAAGCAGACACUCAAGUUCUGAUGCCUUCUAUGUAUAUGGUCAGAGCACCAAAAAACAGCAUGGAGCAUAUUUGUUUGUACUUGGCGUUGGCUUUCUCAGUGAAGUGGAGCAGCAGUGUUGACCACCAGCAAACAGGCGGCUAAUAAACAAAGAUCAAAACUCACAGGUUACUCCCUCCAGAAAACCAUCCUUGAACAUGGAAGAAUGGUUAGCGAGAUGCAAUGUUGCUGGCUUUGAAGAUGGAGGGGAACGUGAGCCAAGGACAUGCGCAGGCUCUACAAGCUUGAAAAUGAAAGAAAACCAUUGUCCCCUGAAGCCUCCAGAGAGAAAUGCAGCCUUAUCAACAUCUUGUCUUUAUUUAGAUCUGCGAAACACUACAGAUCUGUAAAUAUAAAUCUGUGCCGCUUUAAGCCAGCAA